UUCGUUAUAACGGUCCAAUUGGCUGGCUGACUGAGUGCUUAAGGUAAUACUUAACUAACCACUUCGCUAAGACGUUCUAAUUAGCUAACUGACUGAGUGCUUUAAUGAAUACUUUGUGAAGACGUUCAAAUUUGUCUGACUGACUGAGUUCUUUAUUGAAUACUUGUACGUUCCUAUUGGCCGACUGACGGAGUGCUUUAUAGGAUAAUUAAACUAAUCGCUUCGUUAAGACGCUCCAUGAUGAGAAUUUCAAUGUAAAAGCUUCUUAAAGUCGCAGUGGAAACAGGUUUAGUGUUCUUUAUCGGUCAUCUCCUGGUCUUGACAGGGGGGAGGGGGGAUUUUUAGUUCUUUGUUAUUUUUUUUAAUUCAUUUUUUUAUUUAUUUUUUGCGUUAAAGUAGUAAGUUUAAAAGCGCUCUAGCUAACGCUUGAAAAAGAAAGAUGUGGUCCUCCUAAAGAAAUGGAACUUUUCACUGAACUGCGUGCCUCAUGUAUAUACAAGUCAUCUCUUGAUAAGUUUGAUACAUUAGAAAGGCAAAAUGGGCGUCGUAAAGGAUAUAAUUUAGUCUUUGUCCAUAAGACCAGUAAAAGAAAUAUUUUUCUACUGACUGAAUUUGUGUAAUUUGAAAUAACUUCCGAGUGCCGCUUUUAUGCAGGAUUUUAGAUUUCCAUUUACAAGUUUCCCUGUCUAAUGUGUAAAUUGACUCGUUUUAAUUAUCCUGGUAGUUGUCUCCCGGGAUAUGAGAUGGUACUCUGAUGUUUCACUAUGUAAUGUUUACAGAGUUAUUGCCCUUUGUAGAACUCAUUAACUUAUUUGUACAUUGUACAUUUGGAUAACGAUCUGUUGUCACAAUGCGCCAGAGAGGUUCUCACAUUUGACAAAGUUUUCCCACAUUGCAGACAAUCUGAAAACCAUAGUUGUACCUGGUUAAGCUGCCAACGUUUUAUAUUCUCAGAUUGCCUACGCUCUCGCUGAAUAAGGAGUGGGAUUAAUGGGGUUCUCGAACCAAAGUCACUAUUACUUAUUCCCCGUCACACAAAAUUCUUUUUCGGUUGCGGUAAACCAAACCUUCCUAGUUUCCCUCUACGACAAAGACCGUCCAUCUCCGAAGUUGUUUAACCUCUGAUUCACACGGCAGUAUAUAAUCCUGAAAGGCUUCGCUCUUCACUGAAUAUCUGCAAAUAAUUCUCCAUAACGCAUUUUCUUUCGUCGUAACGCGUUAUCUUCGCUCAUAAAAUCGCCAUUUUGUGGCAAGUUGUCUAACUAACGGAACCAACACCCUUGGGAAAUUAUCGAAUUACCGAAGAACUGCGGGUUUUCGUCUUAUCGUCGGGCUUCGAUUCACCUUACAGGGUUUAAAGUGCAUAGGUGUCGGCAGGGAGAGAUAACUCCGAAAUACUAGAGUCGCUAGCACAGCCAGGAAUUUAAACUUUGAGUGACAUUUCAAUUAAUUCUGCGACGGAAUUGAAAUUGUCCAUUUACAAAGCUAAAUAUGUACUGUCGCAUUGUAAUGAAUUGAUUUUUGAAAAGUGGACCGACGCCGACGGUAAUAGUUAUGCAUGUGCAUUUUUAUUACAGACGUAGCGGUUUGCAAACAGAGACAAACUCCCGAACAUUGAGAUUAAUAUUCAAUAAGUGAGAUUUUCAAUUAAA
rnacentral:lncRNA from 1 species